UGCAUUUUAGUGUACGAUGAACAUAAAAUUUUGAUUUUUAUAGAUGUGGUUUAAUUCCAUAAUUUGCAA
rnacentral:tRNA from 1 species